AGACUAUGGCCAUAAUGGUCAUUAUUGUCAGGCAGUAAUCCUAGUUGACUUGAAGUGGCAAAAUCUUAUUUUAUUUAUUGAUUUUUCGUUCAUCCGUUAUUUUUGUAAUGACUAUUAUGGUCAGACAGUAAUACUUGUUGGAACUUGAGUUUCAUUCAAUUUCUUGAUCAUGAUGCACCAUGACUGCACCACUUGACUUCAAUGCUCUUUUGCACCAAAAAUCUUCACUUAUUCCUUCACUUCUCCUUGCAAUCAAAACAAAACAAAAAGGUAUUAAAAUUGAACUAAAAUCAAAUUAACCUAUCAAAUAAAGCUAUAAAAAUAGAUAAUUUCUAGCUUAUUAGAUGAGAUGACUUUUAAUCUUAG
rnacentral:lncRNA from 1 species